rnacentral:rRNA from 1 species
UACGUAGGGUGCGAGCGUUGUCCGGAAUUAUUGGGCGUAAAGGGCGCGCAGGCGGCCGCUCAAGUCAGAUGUGAAAGCCCCCGGGCUCAACCUGGGGAACUGCAUUUUGAUACUGAGUGGCUAGAGUUCGGGAGAGGAGAGUGGAAUUCCCAGUGUAGAGGUGAAAUGCGCAGAUAUCAGGAGGAACACCAAUGGCGAAGGCAGCUCGCUGGGACGGUACUGACGCUGAGGCGCGAAAGCGUGGGGGAGCAAACAGG